CAGUGGCCGCAGGGGUCUGUGGGGCCCUUUUGUUCCUGCUCCUGCUCGUGGGUGUCAUUGUGGCCUGGCACCAGUGGCACUGUUUGGUUCCCAGAAAGCAGCAGGAAAGGGCCACCCCGGAUCCCCCAGCCCCCCCA